rnacentral:piRNA from 1 species
UGAUUUCUUCCGUUCAGCAGGUCC